CUGCUCCGAUAAAUGCUAUUUAUCCUCACUAAUUAACAAAUAUGUCCCGUCUAGGCCACUACACUCUGCAGAAGACCUACAUCUCGCAUGUUCAUAAUCCUACCGUCUAUGCUCACCUUAAAGACUUCUCUAGUGCUGCAUCAUUCCUAUGGAAUGCCCUUCCCCUCUAUGUUAGAUUUUCACUCAGUCUCCACUCCUUCAAAAAAUCUUUGAAAUCUUACUUCUUCAGGAAAGCAUAUCAAUUAAA